CAGAAGGUAGGCUAGCUUGGAGGCAGUAAAUCUCUGGGUAUAUGCCCUUGGAAUACAUACCUCAGCCUAACUUGCUCAUAUCUUUCUUUCUCUUCAGCUCUCUCUCUGCUUCCUGACCAUCAUGACAUGACCAGUCUCCUCUUCCUGCACAAGGUUCUGUUGCCAUGAUCUUCUGUCUUUCCCUGGGCUCAGAACCAGCAGAGCCCAUGAUCAUGGAUGGACUGGGAUCCCUGAAACAGGUCGUUUGGGCUGUUCUAAGCCUCUCGUGUUUCAACGUGAAUUUUGGAAUCAAGCUGCUGGUAUGCAAAGAGGCCAGAAUUUGGAGACAUUUACCUCUUAAUAUUAAGCCUGCUGACCCACAUAUGGGGGCUGUCUUUUCAUUUACUUGGGUCUUUGCUUCACUUGGGGUUUUAAACAGUUUUUUAUGUCUCUCAUUAAAUUUAUUACUACGUAUUUUAUUUCUCCUCCUCUUCCUCUUCCUUCUUCUUCCCCACCCCCUCUCUUAGUUUGUUUGUUUGUUUGUUUGUUUGUUUGUUUGUUUGUUUGUUUUUAGACAGGAUUUUUCUGUGUAGCGCUUGCUGUCCUAAACUCUCUCUGGCCUCAUCCUCAGAGAUCUGCCUGCCUCUGUUGCUUGAGGGUUGGAAUUAAAGGGGUG
rnacentral:lncRNA from 1 species